rnacentral:rRNA from 1 species
UGGGGAAUAUUGCACAAUGGGCGCAAGCCUGAUGCAGCAACGCCGCGUGAACGAUGAAGGUCUUCGGAUCGUAAAGUUCUGUUGCAGGGGAAGAUAAUGACGGUACCCUGUGAGGAAGCCCCGGCUAACUACGUGCCAGCAGCCGCGGUAAUACGUAGGGGGCUAGCGUUAUCCGGAUUUACUGGGCGUAAAGGGUGCGUAGUUGGUCUUUCAAGUCGGUGGUUAAAGGCUACGGCUCAACCGUAGUUAGCCUCCGAAACUGGAAGACUUGAGUGCAGGAGAGGAAAGUGGAAUUCCCAGUGUAGCGGUGAAAUGCGUAGAUAUUGGGAGGAACACCAGUAGCGAAGGCGGCUUUCUGGACUGCAACUGACACUGAGGCACGAAAGCGUGGGUAGCAAACAGG